rnacentral:rRNA from 1 species
GACUCUCGGCAACGGAUAUCUCGGCUCUCGCAUCGAUGAAGAACGUAGAGAAAUGCGAUACCUGGUGUGAAUUGCAGAAUCCCGCAAACCAUCGAGUCUUUGAACGUAAGUUGCGCCCGAGGCCACUCGGCCGAGGGCACGCCUGCCUGGGCGUCA